rfam:TPA: Bos taurus chromosome 13, whole genome shotgun sequence.
UCCCUGGCGGCCCAGUGGUUAGGACUCUGCAGUUUCACUGCUGAGGGCCCAGGUUCAAUCCUUGGUUAGGGAA